rnacentral:rRNA from 1 species
CCUGGCUCAGAACGAACGCUGGCGGCGUGCUUAACACAUGCAAGUCGAACGCGAAAGGGACUUCGGUCCUGAGUAAAGUGGCGCACGGGUGAGUAAUGCGUAGAUAACCUGUCUUCAUGUCUGGAAUAAUACGCCGAAAGGGGUACUAAUACCGGAUAUUCUUGCUUUUCAUAAGUUAUGCAAGCAAAGGUGGCCUCUGCAUAUGCUACUGCAUGAAGAGGGGUCUGCGUACCAUUAGCUAGUAGGUGGGGUAAUGGCCUACCUAGGCGACGAUGGUUAGCGGGUCUGAGAGGAUGAUCCGCCACACUGGCACUGGAACACGGGCCAGACUCCUACGGGAGGCAGCAGUGAGGAAUAUUGCGCAAUGGGGGAAACCCUGACGCAGCGACGCCGCGUGAAGUGAGGAAGGCCUUCGGGUCGUAAAGCUCUGUCAAGAGGAAAGAAGUGUACAAUGGCUAAUACCUGUUGUAUUUGACGGUACCUCUAAAGGAAGCACCGGCUAACUCCGUGCCAGCCGCGGC